rnacentral:lncRNA from 1 species
CUUGUUCUCCAGGUGGGUGCCUGAUUGCCAAAACAUGAAUUAUAUUCCCUUGUUCUUCAGGUGGAAGCCUGAUAGCCAAAACAUGAACGAUAUUCCCUUGUUCUCCAGGUAGGCACCUGAUUGCCAAAACUUGAACUGCAUUCCCUUGUUCUCCACGUGGGCGCCUGUUUGCCAAAACUUGAACUAUAUUCCCUCGAUUCCAGGUAGGCGCCUGAUUGCCAAAACUUGAACUAUAUUCCCUUGUUCUCCAGGUGGGUGCCAGAUUGCCAAAACAUGAACUGUCUUCCGUUGUUCUUCAGGUGGGUGCCUGUUUGCCAGAACUUGGACUUUACAUCCUUGAACUGUAUUCCCUCGUUGUCCAGGUAGGCGCCAUAUUGCUGAAACUUGAAUUAUAUUCCCUUGUUCUCCAGGUGGGUGCCAGAUUGCCAAAACUUGAACUGUCUUCCGUUGUUCUUCAGGUGGGUACCUAUUUGCCGGAACAUGGAGUGUAUUUCCUUAUUCACCAGGUAGGUGCCUGAUUGCCAAAAUUUGAACUGUAUUCCCUUGUUCUCCAAGUGGUUUCUAAAUCUUGAACUGUACUCCCUUAAUCUCCAGGUGGGUGCCUGAUUGCCAAAA